rnacentral:tRNA from 1 species
GACUCAUUGGCCUAGGGGUAUGAUUCUCACUUUGUGUGUGAGAGGUCCUGGGUUCAACUCCCAGAUGAGCCC